CUGUCCUUCAGAAGAAGGGCUGAAUACCUUAAGAACGAUACUAUGGGUAUUGGCAUCAAUUAGGUUGAGACACUGACUUGGAAACCGGAUGGAAUUUUGGGAAGAAGGAAGGAGAGAAAACCGGGGAAGAUGCAUGGAUCUCAGGGUCUUUCCAGUGUAAAGACCUUCUCAUCAUCACCUUUCCCUGAAGGGAGAAGGACCCAGAGGCCUAGAGAGGACAUGAUGGCCAGGGUGUGUGCUGUCUCUGCCUAUAGGUGACUAUGAAGGCAGAUCCCUUACUCAAAAGCCUGGAGACAUUCAUCUGCUUACAGGGAAAGUUCUCCAUCUACAAAAUGAAGACUGCAUCUAUCCCAGCUGUAGGGGCAUUGAGGUGAUCUUCUGCAAGCUCUUUCAAAGUCAGACAUAACAUAUAAUGUACUAACUUUGUUAUUGUAC
rnacentral:lncRNA from 1 species